rnacentral:rRNA from 1 species
CAUGCAAGUCGAACGGCAGCACAGUAAGAGCUAGCUCUUAUGGGUGGCGAGUGGCGGACGGGUGAGGAAUACAUCGGAAUCUACUCUUUCGUGGGGGAUAACGUAGCCAAACUUACGCUAAUACCGCAUACGACCUACGGGUGAAAGCGGAGGACCUUCGGGCUUCGCGCGAUUGAAUGAGCCGAUGUCGGAUUAGCUAGUUGGCGGGGUAAAGGCCCACCAAGGCGACGAUCCGUAGCUGGUCUGAGAGGAUGAUCAGCCACACUGGAACUGAGACACGGUCCAGACUCCUACGGGAGGCAGCAGUGGGGAAUAUUGGACAAUGGGCGCAACCCUGAUCCAGCCAUGCCGCGUGGGUGAAGAAGGCCUUCGGGUUGUAAAGCCCUAUUGUUGGGAAAGAAAAGCAGUCGGUUAAUACCCGAUUGUUCUGACGGUACCCAAAGAAUAAGCACCGGCUAACUUCGUGCCAGCAGCCGCGGUAAUACGAAGGGUGCAAGCGUUACUCGGAAUUACUGGGCGUAAAGCGUGCGUAGGUGGUGGUUUAAGUCUGUUGUGAAAGCCCUGGGCUCAACCUGGGAAUUGCAGUGGAUACUGGGUCACUAGAGUGUGGUAGAGGGUAGCGGAAUUCCCGGUGUAGCAGUGAAAUGCGUAGAGAUCGGGAGGAACAUCCCGUGGCGAAAGCGGCUACCUGGAGCAACACUGACACUGAGGCACGAGAGCGUGCGGAGCAAAUUAGGAUUAGAUACCCUGGGUAUUCCACGCCCUAAACGAUGCGAACUGGAGGUUGUGUGC